rnacentral:rRNA from 1 species
CCUACGGGUGGCAGCAGUGGGGAAUAUUGCACAAUGGGCGGAACCCUGAUGCAGCCACGCCGCGUGAAGGAAGACGGUUUUCCGAUUGUAAACCUCUGUUUAUAGGGAAAUAUAGUGCCGUUAGCGAAGGUGCAUGCCACGGCUAACUACGUGCCGGCAGCCUCGGUAAUACGUAGGUGGCAAGCGUUGUCCGGAAUUACUGGGGGUAAAGGGAGCGCAGGCGGGAAGCCAAGUCAGCUGUGAAAAGUACGGGCUUAACUUGGAGACUGCAGGUGAAACUGGUGUGCUUGAGUGAACCAGAGGCUGGCGGAAUUCCGAGUGUAGCAGUGAAAUGCGUAGAUAUGGCGAGGAACACCGGUGGCGAAGGCGGGUUGCUGGACAGUAACUGACGCUGAGGCACGAAGGCGAGGGGAGCGAAAGGGAUUAGAUACCCUGGUAGUC